GACUCGCCCCUCCCUCUGGGGCGCGGGCCUCAGUUCCGGGAUACCGCAGCCGACGCGGAGAAGCACCGUUUCUUCUUAAAAGAGAAACGCUGCGCGCGCGAGGUGGGCCCCUGUCUUCCAGCAGCUCCGGGCCUGCUCGCCUCGUCCGGGAGGCGCAGGCGCAGGCGCAGUCGGGGUGAGGGCGAGUGGGGGCGCACAGCCUCUGGUGCACAUGGCUUCCUCCCCGGCGGUGGACGUGUCCUGCAGGCGGCGGGAGAAGCGGCGGCAGCUGGACGCGCGCCGCAGCAAGUGCCGCAUCCGCCUGGGCGGCCACAUGGAGCAGUGGUGCCUCCUCAAGGAGCGGCUGGGCUUCUCCCUGCACUCGCAGCUCGCCAAGUUCCUGUUGGACCGGUACACUUCUUCAGGCUGUGUCCUCUGUGCAGGUCCUGAGCCUUUGCCUCCAAAACGUCUGCAGUAUCUGGUGCUCUUGUCUCAUGCCCACAGCCGAGAGUGCAGCCUGGUGCCCGGCCUUCGGGGGCCUGGCGGCCAAGAUGGGGGGCUUGUGUGGGAGUGCUCAGCAGGCCAUACCUUCUCCUGGGGACCCUCUUUGAGCCCCACACCUUCAGAGGCACCCAAGCCAGCCUCCCUUCCACAUACUACCCGGAGAAGUUGGUGUUCUGAGGCCACGAGUGGGCAGGAGCUUGCAGAUUUGGAAUCUGAGCAUGAUGAGAGGACUCAAGAGGCCAGGUUGCCCAGGAGGGUGGGACCCCCACCAGAGACCUUCCCACCUCCAGGAGAGGAAGAGGGUGAGGAAGAAGAGGACGAUGAUGAGGAUGAAGAGGAGAUGCUCAGUGAUGCCAGCUUAUGGACCUACAGCUCCUCCCCAGAUGAUAGUGAGCCUGAUGCCCCCAGACUACUCCCUUCCCCUGUCACCUGCACGCCUAAAGAGGGGGAGACACCACCAGCCCCUGCAGCACUCUCCACUCCUCUUGCUGUGCCGUCCUUGUCAGCAUCCUCACUGGGUUCCAGAGCUCCUCCACUUGCAGAAGUCGGGGUGCAGCCGGAGCUCAGCAGGACCCCUCAAGCAGCCCAGCAGACUGAGGCCCUGGCCAGCACUGGGAGUCAGGCCCAGUCUGCUCCAACCCCGGCCUGGGAUGAGGACACUGCACAGAUUGGCCCCAAGAGAAUUAGGAAAGCUGCCAAAAGAGAGCUGAUGCCUUGUGACUUCCCUGGCUGUGGAAGGAUCUUUUCCAACCGGCAGUAUUUGAAUCACCACAAAAAGUACCAGCACAUCCACCAGAAGUCUUUCUCCUGCCCAGAGCCAGCCUGUGGGAAGUCCUUCAACUUUAAGAAACACCUGAAGGAGCACAUGAAGCUGCACAGUGCAGGUACAGUGGACGGAGAGAGGGACAGGAAGAUUGGUAGUGUGAAUGAAAGAAGGCAACAAAGAUGGCUGUGGAAAUGCAGACACCCGGGACUACAUCUGUGAGUUCUGCGCCCGGUCUUUCCGCACUAGCAGCAACCUUGUCAUCCACCGACGUAUCCACACUGGAGAAAAACCCCUGCAGUGUGAGAUAUGUGGGUUUACCUGCCGCCAGAAGGCCUCCCUGAACUGGCACCAGCGCAAGCAUGCAGAGACGGUGGCUGCCUUGCGCUUCCCCUGCGAAUUCUGCGGCAAGCGCUUUGAGAAGCCAGACAGUGUUGCAGCCCACCGUAGCAAAAGUCACCCAGUCCUGCUCCUGGCCCCUCAAGAGUCACCCAGUGGUUCCCUAGAGCCCUGUCCCAGCAUCUCUGCCCCUGGGCCUCUGGAAUCCAGCGAGGGGUCCAGGCCCUCUGCAUCUCCUCAGGCUCCAAUCCUGCUUCCUCAGCAAUGAGCUCUCCAGCUUUGGCUUUGGGGAGCCAGACUCCAGGGACUGAAAAGGAGCAAUGAGGAGAGGGUCUGCUUGAGAAACACCAGAUGCUUGGUCCCCAGGAACUAAGGCGACAGAGUGUAGGGUGGGGACAAGACUGGGCUGUAGGGGAGCUGGACUACUUUAGUCUUCCUAAAGGACAAAAUAAACAGAGUAUUUUAUGCA